CCUGGGGCUCCCUGUUCCCUAUGACCUUCUCGCUCCCCACUGCUCCACGCUUAGCCCUGUCAACACAUCAGAAAGCAGACAGAGUGGUUUGAAGAGCGCCUCCCUUCCCACCCCUGAGCUGGGGGCAGAAUGCCAGCCCCUCCCGGUCCAGUCACAUACUCAGCGCCCCCAACAGGCCGGAGAGGGCCCCUUCCUCACAGCCCGUACUGGUGCCUGCCCUGUCCUGGGGAGCAACUGGCCAGGGCCUGACCCCAGCUGGGCCUUGCAUGGCCCUGAGUCAGCAGCGCGGUUUCCAGAGCAGCUGCCCUGGGGGUGUGGCAGUGACUGGGACAGUGGGAGGGAGAGAGGGCCCCUCACCACCACACUGACCCCUGUCUGGGGGACACCCCCAGACUCCCCUCAGCACCCACUGUGUGCCAGGCUGGGUGGGGGCAUGGCAGGGGAGCGGGGGUCACAGCAGCACUGCUGCCACCUGUGGGCAGAGGCCGUGGGCCUCCUUCCUGCCAGCGUGAGUCACAGGAGCCUCUGCCCUGGCAGAGCGUGGAGCCCGGGCCCCAGCGCCCCUCCUCCAGCAGCUGGCAUCGCCUCUGCACAGAGCUGGCGGGACCCCGGGGCACAGGUGUGGCCGGGGCAGGUGGAGUCUGCAUCAGAAUUGGGGCCAUCGGUAGGUCACAGCUGGCCCAAACUGUCCCCGCGUGGGUUGGGGGCACCGAGCAGGGGGACAGCAGAGCAGAGGAGCCCAGGGUUGGGGGGCAAGCCCCGCCCCUCCUGGAGCCUCGACCUCCACCUGAGAAAGGGGGAUAAAUGUAAGUGCCGCUGAGUCCCCAGUGCUCUGGGCCUGCAGGGGUCGCAGAGGGGCACAGACUAGCAGCACCUCGGCCCUUUCCUCUUACACAAGAGGCUGAGGGAGGAGGGAAGUUCUCUCUCCUCAGAAGGGGAAGCAGGUCCAGGAGGCCUUACAGGAACCGGGCAGCCUGAUGUCUUCCAUCCACCGCCCUCAGGGGUGUGCAGGGGGGGCUCUCCCUCCCCCGAAGAUGAGUCACGGAGCAGAAGAGGUGACCUCCCUUCUCCUGCAGGCACAACUGUGGGCAGCCAUGCCCCACGCUCUGGUGGCAUCAGCGCCCCUCAACCGCACGCUGGGCUAGUGGCUGGUUGGGGAGGGUCCUGGCUGGCUCGAGGGGUUCCAUACCCCCCACUCUGGCCCUCCCAAACUGCCCAUCACUUGCGGGCUUUCAAAAAUAAAAAGUAAAACCGCAACCACUGGGGCUGCUGGGCGCUUCCCCCCCCCCCGCCCCCAAGCUUCCCUGCUGCCGGCGGGUGAGUGCCGGGGUAGCUGGCCAGAGCAGAGGCUGAGUUAGGUCUUGGAGGGGCUGAGAGGGGUGCCAGGAUGGGGCCCCUCCCUGCUCAGUUCAAACAGACUUCCCUUCGGCUGGGCCAUCACAGCCAACUUCCCCCGAAGAGGCACAUCUGAGCUGCAGUAGGAAGCAGAGUGGGGAGAGGAAGACGUUGCAGGUCUCAGCACAGCCUGGGCAAAGGUGCAGAGGGCUGGUCGCAUCUCCUCAUGGCUCAUCCCAGUGAAAUCCCCAGAUCCUUGCCAAGUGAUCCCUCACUUCCUGUUUGAACGUGGUAGUCACAGCUGAGCCCUAGAUCAGCAGCCGGCGGUCACUGGGAACUUGCUGGGAAUGCAGAUUCCUGGGCCGCCCCAGCCCAUCUAGGACUCCAGCUAAACCUAAGAGGAGAGACAGUUCUUGCUGUCCCCACACGGCACCGCAGAAGCACAGAGCCCCAGAUGCCUCCACUCCUGGGUGCUUAUCCCCCCAUCAGAGCUCAUGUAUCCUGGGCCCCCUUCCCCAGAAGCCAGUCAGAACGGAAACCACUGGACCAGGCUGCUGGUGUGCGCUGGAGGCAGAAGCUCCGCCCUGUGCCCCCGCCAGCGCAGGCACUCAUGGUGCCGAGAGCCAGGAACCUCGGCGCCAGCAAUGCCACGGGAGCCUGGUGUCUUCCACCGGGCCUCGCGGCUCCCUCGCCCACCUGCGCACCUGGCAUGCGAGACAAACGCUCUCCUGGGCAAACGUGCCUACCCCAGUUCCACGGGUCCUAAGGGUCUCCCUGUGAGGUGGGCGGUAUGUCGCCUGCCACCCAGGGUGAUGUGCUGGGUUAUGUGGCCUCGGACGACACGGCGCCUUCCCCAGCCCGCUUCUCAAAUGAGAACAAGAGUGAUCCUUCCUACCUCGGCGGGCGGGGGUUGGGUUGCUGCUCAGACCACUGGUAAGGACUCCGGCGAGGCCAGUGGGCGGCGAGGCGCCCGGGGACGCACCGGGAACCCCGCCUCGGGUUACAGUGGGGACGCAGGAGAUGCUCUUCCUGGAGACACACCAUCCUCCCAUUUGGCCUCUCUGCCCCGCUCCAACAGCCCUGCCCAGGGCCAGGUGUGUCACCUCUCCUGCUGGCCGGAGAAGGGCCCUCCUCACAGCAAUCCGCGUCUCCUCAGGCCCCUCCAGCGCAAGCCCAGACUGCAAAUGAGGCUUUCACGCCGUCGAGACCACCGCUCCCAGCGCCAGCCGCUCUGCACACCUGACGCCCCGCC